CUAUCUCGGCUCACUGCAAGCUCCACCUCCCGGGUUCACGCCAUUCUCCUGCGUCAGCCUCCCGAGUAGCUGGGGGCGCCCGCCACCACGCCCGGCUAAUUUUUUGUGUUUUUAGUACAGACGGGGUUUCACCAUGUUAGCCAGGAUGGUCUCUAUCUCCUGACCUCGUGAUCCGCCCACCUCGGCCUCCCAAAGUGCUGGGAUUACAGGCGUAAGCCACCACUCCCUGCCGUAAAAGGCCUAAUCUUUAAUGACCCUCCUGUGCGUGUGAAAGCACUCUUGUUGGUGCAGCGGAAAGUGCACCUCACAAUACACAUUGUGACUUUACCUUGAGACGUUGAUGAUGCUCCUAUCACCAUGGUUAUGUGAUUGGGUAUAUCUUGCCCUCGGUCCUAACUGCCACUGUCUGUGCUGAGUUUUUCAAAGUUCAUAGCAGGUUGAACAUGCUUGCUGUCAUUUUCACAGAUUCUGGUCUUUCUUAUGGGGAACCUGAGUUCCUGCAUUAAAGUUCCCCCAGAAGAUCAAUGGAAGGUGGAUUCCAAAGAGUGGGCAAGUGAGGACCCCUUCUCUGUUACCAAGGUGACCCCAAGGAACACAAUAAAUGUGAGGGCGUAUUUGGCCUCCCCAGGACGGACUGGAGCAUCAGUAGUGCCUGAGUUCAUCAAAGGACAGAUGCUCAAGACACCCUGAUCACCAUUAGGUGGAAUUGAAGGAGCCAAAAAUGGGCGCAGUGGCUCCUCAGCAGAGACGCUCCUGAAUGUAUAGAUAUGGGAACCACUUUUAGCAUCAAAAAAGGAAACGUUCUGCAUGCCCAUAUCCAGAAAAAUCCCCACUCGCUGUAACUUGCGGUCUACGAAGAGGAAAGUCAGCGGCACCGUGCUGGCAGAGAGGCGGCUUCCAUCCCUCAAACUCACAGUCCAGAAUCCACGCUCUGUGGUCAGCUGGAUCCUCCCUUUGCGGUGAACAGAUUCUCUGCAGACUCCCAUGUCCCAUUCUGUGCUUGUUCCCACGUCCACCUCCCAGUAGUGGUGGCCACAGGUAAAGUGAGGGGAGCCCAGGACGCAAAUGGACAUGUCAAAUCUCUCGGCAAGGUCUUGCCGAUUCUGUGUGAUGAGCCCACUUCGGACGCUCCUGAGGUCGUCAGAAAUGAGGAGGAAGUUGUUGGCUGUGUCGGCAUCCAAGGUCAUAUCCACUGUGAAAAGGAAAACAAGUUGCUCAGCAAGUGGACAGAAGCCAACCCCAUGCCUCUCUUCUACUUCAAAGGCCCAAAUAUCUCCUGACUUUAGUUUCUUUAAUUCUGUUUCUUCCUCCAAAACCAAAACUUUUCAUGAGGAAACUUCCCUAUUUCAAAUUCUCAUAGGUAUGCUUUGUGGCAAUACGUGACUCUUAUUCACAGUAGCAAUUCUUAUUUUACUUUACGUCACGUGUUUGCUUCAUUGAACUUUUCUUCAUUUAGAGUGGAGGGUCUCUGAAGGCAGACACCAUGCCCCCCUUUCUACCACCUUGAUAUGUGAACAAGUAAAUGAUAAUUAAGACAAUGCAAGUGGUCAAUAUUAAAUAUGUUUCUGCUUCCACA